rnacentral:rRNA from 1 species
UACGAAGGGGGCGAGCGUUGUUCGGAUUUACUGGGCGUAAAGGGCGCGCAGGCGGCCAUUCAAGUCAGGCGUGAAAGCCCCGGGCUUAACCUGGGAGGUGCGUCUGGGACUGGGUGGCUGGAGAUCGGGAGAGGAGAGUGGAAUUCCCAGUGUAGAGGUGAAAUUCGUAGAUAUCAGGAGGAACACCGGUGGUGUAAACGGCUUUCUGGACCAUAACUGACGCUGAGGCACGAAAGCGUGGGUAGCAAACAGG